rnacentral:rRNA from 1 species
AGCGAACGCUGGCGGUAGGCCUAACACAUGCAAGUCGAACGAACUCUUCGGAGUUAGUGGCGGACGGGUGAGUAACACGUGGGAACGUGCCUUUAGGUUCGGAAUAACUCAGGGAAACUUGUGCUAAUACCGAAUGGGCCCUUCGGGGGAAAGAUUUAUCGCCUUUAGAGCGGCCCGCGUCUGAUUAGCUAGUUGGUGAGGUAAAGGCUCACCAAGGCGACGACCAGUAGCUGGUCUGAGAGGAUGAUCAGCCACAUUGGGACUGAGACACGGCCCAAACUCCUACGGGAGGCAGCAGUGGGGAAUCUUGCGCAAUGGGCGAAAGCCUGACGCAGCCAUGCCGCGUGAAUGAUGAAGGUCUUAGGAUUGUAAAAUUCUUUCACCGGGGACGAUAAUGACGGUACCCGGAGAAGAAGCCCCGGCUAACUUCGUG